GCCUGUGAUGCUUUAAUCCGUAUUAAUGAGGUGUAGUGGAGCCAAGUCCCUGCAUUGCAGGGGGAACCUCCUUGGGGAAGCUACAUUCCAGAUGAUCAUGGUGGAUUUUCUGAGGC
rnacentral:snoRNA from 1 species